UUUUGUCUUUGUUUUUGAAAUUAACUGUUUAACUUGAUUAUAUAAAAAGUGCUUGGAAGCAUUUUAAUUUCUAAGAUAAUAUUUGAUGCACCGGGAAUUUCACAAAGCGAUUAUGGAAAUAACUCUAUGGUAGUUCAGAUUAUUGUUUUGUCAAUGAAAUACUGAUGUAGGACCAGUGUUGCUUCCGGGUUCUGCUAAUAUUUUCAGCAUAGGCGAUAUCAGGGGUCCAUUCUGUAACACCUGCCAGCUGAACUCAGCUGUAAGACUUGUCACACUUUAUUGGCAUUUUGUCAUUAUUUUUAUGAUUUCAAAAAUACAGAAUUGAUCCCUAAGGGGCAGAAGGGAACCGCCGAGCUUUUCCUUGGCAACAGCUGAUUUUUGUGCAGUGCACACUAAGCUCCGCGGAUUACAAGUGGCAAAUCAGUAGUAAGUAGCCAGCAGCGACGUCCCAUCACAGUGGGUUGAGAGUUGGGCUCCUCCCCGCACACACCUUUUUAUGAAGUAGCUCUGUGGAAAGGAAACUUCAGGCACUUAAUGAAGUCAUGAAUGAAGAGACACCGAGCAGAGGGUUAGACACAGCACUGCCCACAUCACCCGCCGCGUGCCCAAAGAAAAGAAAGUAAUAUCCACAUGACACUGGGCAACGUCUCCAUCAUCCGGAAAACUGCGUUAAAGGAAAUUGUCUCUCAAGUCCUGUCGGUGAUGACAGUCUACGAUUUCAAAACCUGAGAUGGGAUACUAACGAUCAUCAGAAGCCAGGUUUCUAGGACUAAAUGUAAGAACAUCUUGUCCUGUUCAUGCGUUUUCUCAUCCCUAACAGAAGGUUUAAAAGUUUCAACUUCCUAAAAAGGAACACAAACAAAAACACAACACAGGCUGACUGGGCUGGAGAGCACGAGAAUCUGCCAGACGCCCAAACCACGCAGGACCCACACGCUCAGCGAGCUCAGCGCCCACCGGCUCACACAUCCAUCACUCUCGGGGGAGCCUCCUAUGUCCCAGCGACUCCACAAGCACGGUGGCUUACCCCGGCCGUGGCUUAUACUCAGUCGGAGUUAAAAAGGCCAUAGUCCCUUAUUUCAGCAAAAUAAAAUCCAUCACCAACCCUCGCCGACAGCCUCAGUCUGUGUUUCUUUUACACCAACCACCUGACCUCACGGACUGCGUCAGCCUCACACCUGGUCCUUGGGCAGAAAGCACCAGGGAAGCGGACACAACGCAGGUUCAUGGACACUGGGAAGAAAUAUGUGAAAACCAACAAUGCCUUUGUGUGAACACGGACAGCAUACGCCAGCAUAUUUAAACAAGAAUGACAUUUACUGCAAAUAAAUGUGGCCAUCACUUCAGUUUAUUUUUAGUGUCUCUGAUUUUAAAAGCCAUCUCCCAAGUGGUUAUGUUGCUUAGCACCCACGGCACCCUGGCUCUGCCAGGACAGGAGCUGG
rnacentral:lncRNA from 1 species